rnacentral:sRNA from 1 species
CGAGCGCCGAGAGAGCGAGUCGGCGCUACUGGCGCCGGGUCGGUCCGGGUAGGCGCAGCGGGACUGGACCUGGGUGCCGAGCGGAGCCGCUGCCAUGGGCCUGGGCGUCAGCGCUGAGCAGCCCGCAGGCGGCGCCGAGGGCUUCCACCUCCACGGGGUGCAGGAGAACUCCCCAGCCCAGCAGGCGGGCCUGGAGCCCUACUUUGACUUCAUCAUCACCAUUGGGCACUCGAGGCUGAACAAGGAGAAUGACACCCUGAAGGCACUACUGAAAGCCAAUGUGGAGAAGCCCGUGAAGCUGGAGGUGUUCAAUAUGAAGACCAUGAGGGUGCGCGAGGUGGAGGUGGUGCCCAGCAACAUGUGGGGCGGCCAGGGCCUACUGGGUGCCAGUGUGCGCUUCUGCAGCUUCCGCAGGGCCAGUGAGCAGGAGUCUUUAGCCACAUGCCUGCAGCAGAAGCAGCAAUGUAGUGGGUGCUCCUGUAGCCAAGGAUGUGGAACCAUCUUCACCUGCUGCCCUUGCCGGCCUGCGCCCCUACACAGACUAUGUGGUUGGUUCGGACCAGAUUCU